GAGGACAGUGAGUCCUGACUGCUGGACCCUCUUCCCCCAUAGGACAAAGGAAAGGAGCUCUCUGGGCUUGGCAGUGCUCUAAAGAAUCCCUUUGGGAAUGCUGGCCUCCUGCUAGGAGAGGCAGGCAAACAGCUGAGGCGGCGGGCAGGGCUGGGCAGCGGCCUGAGUCUCAGCGGACUUGUCCACCCGGAGUUGAGUCGGAGUGGCGAGCUGUACGGGCUCUGGAGCAGUUUGCCACUGUGGUGGAGGCCAAGCUGAUAAAACACAAGAAGGGGAUUGUCAGUAAGUGAGCUCUACACCAUUCCGCCCCUCCCUUUCCUCUCCUUGAGACUAAUGCCCCC
rnacentral:lncRNA from 1 species